rnacentral:rRNA from 1 species
GAUGAACGCUAGCUACAGGCUUAACACAUGCAAGUCGAGGGGAAACGACAUCGAAAGCUUGCUUUUGAUGGGCGUCGACCGGCGCACGGGUGAGUAACGCGUAUCCAACCUGCCCACCACUUGGGGAUAACCUUGCGAAAGUAAGACUAAUACCCAAUGAUAUCUCUAGAAGACAUCUGAAAGAGAUUAAAGAUUUAUCGGUGAUGGAUGGGGAUGCGUCUGAUUAGCUUGUUGGCGGGGUAACGGCCCACCAAGGCAACGAUCAGUAGGGGUUCUGAGAGGAAGGUCCCCCACAUUGGAACUGAGACACGGUCCAAACUCCUACGGGAGGCAGCAGUGAGGAAUAUUGGUCAAUGGACGAGAGUCUGAACCAGCCAAGUAGCGUGCAGGAAUACGGCCCUAUGGGUUGUAAACUGCUUUUAUAAGGGAAUAAAGUGAGUCUCGUGAGACUUUUUGCAUGUACCUUAUGAAUAAGGACCGGCUAAUUCCGUG